rnacentral:rRNA from 1 species
AUUGAACGCUGGCGGCAUGCUUUACACAUGCAAGUCGAACGGUAACAGGCCUUCGGGUGCUGACGAGUGGCGAACGGGUGAGUAAUGCAUCGGAACGUACCCAGAGGUGGGGGAUAACGCAGCGAAAGCUGUGCUAAUACCGCAUGUGAUCUGAGGAUGAAAGCGGGGGACCGAGCAGCAAUGUUUGGCCUCGCGCCUUUGGAGCGGCCGAUGUCGGAUUAGCUAGUUGGUGGGGUAAAGGCCUACCAAGGCGACGAUCCGUAGCUGGUCUGAGAGGACGACCAGCCACACUGGGACUGAGACACGGCCCAGACUCCUACGGGAGGGAGCAGUGGGGAAUUUUGGACAAUGGGCGCAAGCCUGAUCCAGCAAUGCCGCGUGCGGGAAGAAGGCCUUCGGGUUGUAAACCGCUUUUGGCAGGAAACGAAACGGUGUCCGCUAAUACCGGGCGCUAAUGACGGUACCUGCAGAAUAAGCACCGGCUAACUACGUG